UACGUAGGGACCAAGCGUUGUCCGGAAUCAUUGGGCGUAAAGAGCGUGUAGGCGGCUUGUUAAGUCUUGCGUGAAAUCUCGGGGCUCAACCCCGAGCGGUCGUGAGAAACUGGCAGGCUAGAGUGCGGGAGAGGAGAGUGGAAUUCCUGGUGUAGCGGUGAAAUGCGCAGAUAUCAGGAAGAACACCAGUGGCGAAGGCGGCUCACUGGCCCGAUACUGACGCUGAGGCACGAAAGCGUGGGGAGCAAACAGG
rnacentral:rRNA from 1 species